rnacentral:rRNA from 1 species
UGCCAGCCGCCGCGGUAAGACGGAGGGUGCAAACGUUGUUCGGAAUCACUGGGCAUAAAGCGCACGUAGGCGGCUUGGUCAGUCUGUUGUGAAAGCCCUCGGCUCAACCGGGGAAUUGCAUCGGAUACUGCCAGGCUUGAGGACGGUUGGGGUGAGUGGAACUCCUGGUGGAGCGGUGAAAUGCGUAGAUAUCAGGAGGAACACCAGUGGCGAAAGCGGCUCACUGGACCGUAUCUGACGCUGAGGUGCGAAAGCUAGGGUAGCGAACGGGAUUAGAUA